GAAAGAGAAAAAGUGUCUGAAGAUCGAAACAUUCCCCAAAUUUGACACCACACAAAAACCCUAACCCAAUUUCACCCUUCCCCAAUUAAAUUCUCCUAUCAUUCCUUAAUUCUCUCACUUAAAAUCGCGGUUUUUCUUCGUGCAAUCUGUGCGAUCCCAAUAAUCACACACUCCCAUGGACGACAUGGAAGACGACGCAAGGUACCCUCCCAAGUCAUUCUCCCUCAACCGUCAGAACCCCUCCCACCGACACAAACACCCCGCACGCGCCGCUCCUUACCACCGCCCAAUGCCCACGCGCUACGACCAGCCCAUGGUCGACGACGACGAUGACGACGAUGAAAACGAACCCGAAGAUUUCAACGACGACAACGACGAAGGCGAAAACGGGUACGACGAAAACGACGUCGUGGGGUAUCCCCGGAUCCCGAAGAAGCGCAAGGUGGUAGUCGCGCCAGGCUCCUACGAAUUCGCGCCACGUUUCAAAGUGUCGUACGGUUCGCGUGGUUCGGGCUCUUCCGGUGAAGAGUGGAGCGAGCACGAGACUUUCGUGCUGCUGGAGGUGUGGGGGGACAAGUUCCUCCAGCUCGGUAGGAACAGCUUAAGGUCCGAGGAAUGGCACGAGGUUGCCGAAAAGGUGUCGGAGGAAUUGAAGACAGAGAGAAGCGUGACGCAGUGUAGGAGCGUGCUGGACAAGCUGAAGAGAAAGUACAAGAAGGAGAAAACGAAAAUGGAUGAAAUGGGAAUGGGCUCUUGCAAAUGGCCCUACUUCAAGAAGAUGGACAUGUUGAUGGCAUCCUCUGCAAGGCAAGAGUAUGGCCUUGCGUGUGGGGUGGAUUCUGGGGAGUAUGUGUUUAUGAACACUAGGGUUUACUUGAACAGGUCCAAUGGAUUUGAUGAGAUGAGGGAUAGUCCAGGGGAGUCUGAGAGUGAUGAUGAUGAGGAAGAAGAGGAGUUUGGUGGUGGCGGUGCUGCUGCUGCGGAGGAAGAGGAGGAUGAAACAUCGUUCCGUGUGUUGGCGGAUUCGAUUCAGAAGUUUGGGAAGAUUUAUGAGAAGAUUGAGAACAGCAAGAGGCAGCAGAUGAUGGAGUUGGAGAAGAUGAGGCUGGAUUUUAACAGGGAGUUGGAGCUGCAGAAGAAGCAGAUUCUCGAGAGGGCGCAGGCUGAGAUUGCCAAAAUUCAGGAAGGGGAUGAGGAGGAUACCGACACUUCCACGGAGAAUCUCAGUGAAUGAUGUAGCAGAAGGAGGUGUGAUUGGUGCUGUUGUUUAAUCAGAAUAUAUGUUGGAAUGCUGUGAUUGCUCAAUAUCCAUACUUUAGGAUGCCAGCAAACUUCAUUAUAACGUUGGACAGUUAGAUAAUCCUGGAAAGGGUGGUGAUAUCUGAUUGAUUGCACCAGUUUUGGAGGGAACAUCGUCUACAGGCUGAAAAAGAGAUGCACCCAGUAAGGUUUUUGACCUUUGUGUUCCCUGAUAAUGGAGAAGUUGAUUAGCAAGGGUAAUAUUUUUGUAUGGGUAAUUAACAAUAAUUUUGGUGCACCAUUAAAUAAUUUGUAGCACAUUUCUGUAACUUAUCAGUCCUUGAAUGGAAAUUAAAUGUUAAUAGUAAACUUAACACCACUGAAUUGGGAAUCUUGA